AUUGAACGCUGGCGGCAGGCCUAACACAUGCAAGUCGAACGGUAGCACAGAGAGCUUGCUCUCGGGUGACGAGUGGCGGACGGGUGAGUAAUGUCUGGGAAACUGCCUGAUGGAGGGGGAUAACUACUGGAAACGGUAGCUAAUACCGCAUAACGUCGCAAGACCAAAGAGGGGGACCUUCGGGCCUCUUGCCAUCAGAUGUGCCCAGAUGGGAUUAGCUAGUAGGUGGGGUAACGGCUCACCUAGGCGACGAUCCCUAGCUGGUCUGAGAGGAUGACCAGCCACACUGGAACUGAGACACGGUCCAGACUCCUACGGGAGGCAGCAGUGGGGAAUAUUGCACAAUGGGCGCAAGCCUGAUGCAGCCAUGCCGCGUGUAUGAAGAAGGCCUUCGGGUUGUAAAGUACUUUCAGCGGGGAGGAAGGUGCUGAGGUUAAUAACCUCAGCAAUUGACGUUACCCGCAGAAGAAGCACCGGCUAACUCCGUG
rnacentral:rRNA from 1 species